GACGAACGCUGGCGGCGUGCUUAACACAUGCAAGUCGAACGGUAAGGCCCUUCGGGGUACACGAGUGGCGAACGGGUGAGUAACACGUGGGUGAUCUGCCCUGCACUUCGGGAUAAGCCUGGGAAACUGGGUCUAAUACCGGAUAGGACCCUGGGAUGCAUGUCCUGGGGUGGAAAGCUUUUGCGGUGUGGGAUGGGCCCGCGGCCUAUUAGCUUGUUGGUGGGGUGAUGGCCUACCAAGGCGACGACGGGUAGCCGGCCUGAGAGGGUGACCGGCAACACUGGGACUGAGAUACGGCCCAGACUCCUACGGGAGGCAGCAGUGGGGAAUAUUGCACAAUGGGCGCAAGCCUGAUGCAGCGACGCCGCGUGAGGGAUGACGGCCUUCGGGUUGUAAACCUCUUUCAGCACCGACGAAGCGCAAGUGACGGUAGGUGCAGAAGAAGGACCGGCCAACUACGUGCCAGCAGCCGCCGUAA
rnacentral:rRNA from 1 species